AUGUAAUAUUGAUUUGACUAAAUUAAGCACCCUUUUCAGGUUAACCAAAUAAAAGAUAAUCUUUUUAUAAACCAUUGGUUUUUAACUUGACCUAGAAACAUAGUUAUAAAUUUCUCCAUGAUUGAAGAACUGUAACUGUUAAGCCACAUGACAUUUUAAACCUCAGUGAACAAAACAUGGUUUAAUUUAAUUUCUAGCACCAUUAUAAGACUCAGUACAAUUAUAGCUGACAUCAUUGUUAUUAAUGACAGCUGCCAGUUUCAUAUUAAAAUUAUAUAUGUAAAUUCUAUGGCAACAUAUGUACAUUGUAUUAUAAAACAAGUUGUUAUAAAAUUCAUAAUUAAAUAUAGAUUUUUUAAAAUAGUUAUAUAUUGGUAUUGUUGCUGUAAGACUGAACGGAGACCUAUAGUCUAUAAGGCCAAAUAAAAAUAUAUGUGUGGUUCCAUUUACCCUUCCUACCCUACUUUUUAGUCUUAAUAAUAGCAUACCCUAAAGAUUUUUUUGGUCAUUUUUCAUUUAGCACCAUUAAAAUCAGAAUGUUGCUCCCAUUGACUCAAUGUAAAAAAAAAACAUAUAAAUAAAACAAAAAAUCCCUACCUACAUAUCUUUACUUUUU
rnacentral:lncRNA from 1 species